rnacentral:rRNA from 1 species
AGUGAACGCUGGCGGUAGGCCUAACACAUGCAAGUCGAACGGCAGCACAGUAAGAGCUUGCUCUUACGGGUGGCGAGUGGCGGACGGGUGAGGAAUACAUCGGAAUCUACUUUUUCGUGGGGGAUAACGUAGGGAAACUUACGCUAAUACCGCAUACGACCUACGGGUGAAAGUAGGGGAUCUUCGGACCUUGCGCGAUUGAAUGAGCCGAUGUCGGAUUAGCUAGUUGGCGGGGUAAAGGCCCACCAAGGCGACGAUCCGUAGCUGGUCUGAGAGGAUGAUCAGCCACACUGGAACUGAGACACGGUCCAGACUCCUACGGGAGGCAGCAGUGGGGAAUAUUGGACAAUGGGCGCAAGCCUGAUCCAGCCAUACCGCGUGGGUGAAGAAGGCCUGCGGGUUGUAAAGCCCUUUUGUUGGGAAAGAAAAGCAGCAGGUUAAUACCCCGCUGUUCUGACGGUACCCAAAGAAUAAGCACCGGCUAACUUCGU